UUCGAUGCAACGCGAAGAACCUUACCUGGUCUUGACAUCCCGGAGACCCUUAGGAAACUAGGGGUACGUCCAUCUGGAAGAAUCUGGAGACAGGUGCUGCAUGGCUGUCGUCAGCUCGUGUCGUGAGAUGUGGGUUAAGUCCCGCAACGAGCGCAACCCUUGCCUUUAGUUGCCAGCAGUUCGGCUGGGCACUCUAAAGGGACUGCCGGUGUUAAACCGGAGGAAGGUGGGGAUGACGUCAAGUCCUCAUGGCCUUUAUGACCAGGGCUACACACGUACUACAAUGGCCGAUACAAAGGGCAGCGACACUGCGAGGUGAAGCCAAUCCCGUAAAAUCGGUCUCAGUCCGGAUUGGAGUCUGCAACUCGACUCCAUGAAGUUGGAAUCGCUAGUAAUCGUGGAUCAGCAUGCCACGGUGAAUACGUUCCCGGGCCUU
rnacentral:rRNA from 1 species